AUCUGAAAUUUUGUUUUUAUUAAUAUUUAAUUUUUAUUAUUAUUUUUAUUAAAAUUUUUUUUUUAUUAUUUAUUUUGAAAUAAUUUUUUUUAUUAUAGUUUAUUUGUUUGUAAGAUUAUAAAUUUUUUUAUUUUUAAGAAAAAUUAAUUUUUUGUACCUUGGGUAUCAGGGUUUAAUAACUUAAUUUAUUAAUUAAUAAUUAUCCCGAAUUUAAAAGAGCUAUAAUUAUUUUUUUAUUUAUUGUUGAAUAAAUAUAAUUAAAUUAAUUAUUGUAAUGAAAUGUUAUUCGUUUUUAAAUUUAUCUGGUUUUCUAAGAAAUAAAUUUAAUUUAUUUAUUUUUAAUAAUUUUUUUAUUUAUAAAUUUUUAUUAGAAAUAUUUAAUUUUAAAAGGGAUUAGCUUUUUAAAAAAUUAAUUAUUAAUUAUUAUUUAAAAUUUUUUAUUUAUGAAUAAAAAUUUCUUUUUUAUUGUAUUUUAUUAUUAUGAGAAUUUUUUAUAUUAUUUUAUUUUUUUAUAAUUUUUAUAUUAGAAUGUGAUUUAAAAUUUUUUAAAUUUAGUAAUAAUGUUAAAAUUAGUAAAUUUUUUUGUAAUUUUAUAUUUUACUGAAAGAUUAAUAAAAGGAACUCGGCAAAAUUAUUAUUCACCUGUUUAAUAAAAACAUGUCCUAUAUUGUAAAAAGAUUUUAGGUCUGGCCUGCCCAAUGAUGAAAUUGAAUGGUCGCAGUAAUUUGACUGUGCUAAGGUAGCAUAAUCAUUAGUUUUUUAAUUGAAAACUGGAAUGAAAGGUUGGAUGAGAUAAUAACUGUCUCUUAUUAAUAUAUUGAAUUUUACUUUUAAGUAAAAAGGCUUAAAUUUUAUUAAAAGACGAGAAGACCCUUUAGAUUUUUAUAUAUUAUUAAAAAUUAAUUUUUUAGGAUAUAUUUUAAUUUUUAUUGUAUAUUUGAUUGGGGUGAUUAUUAAAUUAAUUUAACUUUAAUUGUUAAUUACAUUGAUUUAUGGUUUAUUUGAUCCAAAUUUUUUGAUUAUUAGAUAAAAUUACCUAAGGGAUAACAGCGUAAUUUUUUUAGAGAGUUCAAAUCGAUAAAAAAGAUUGCGACCUCGAUGUUGGAUUAAAGUUUAGAAUUGGUGCAGAAGCUGAUUUUUUGGUCUGUUCGACCAUUAAAACUUUACAUGAUCUGAGUUUAGACCGGCGUGAGCCAGGUUGGUUUCUAUCUUUAAUUAACUAAAAAAUUUUAGUACGAAAGGACCAAUUUUUUUUUAAAUUAAAAUUUGUUUGAAUAUUAUUA
rnacentral:rRNA from 1 species